GCAAACUUGGUCAUUUAGAGGAAGUAAAAGUCGUAACAAGGUUUCCGUAGGUGAACCUGCGGAAGGAUCAUUACCGAAUAUACAACCGGCCACGCGGCCAAGCUGGGGAGCCAGGGAGGGCUGGAGUGAUGGGGGGCUCACGCUCCCCGGGCUCUGACACUCUGGCUCUUACAGUAUACCCUUUGUGAAAACCCCUUGUUGCUUCGGCAGCGCCUCCCGUCCCCUUCGGGAAUCCCGGGAGGGUCAGCCUGCCGACGGCACCCUGAGAAACCCUUCAACGGAAAAAUUGCAUUUUACAAAAGUCUGAAGCUUCCAGUCGAAUGACUAUAAAACUUUCAACAACGGAUCUCUUGGUUCCCGCAUCGAUGAAGAACGCAGC
rnacentral:misc_RNA from 1 species